rnacentral:rRNA from 1 species
AUUGAACGCUGGCGGCAGGCCUAACACAUGCAAGUCGAGCGAUCGGCGGACGGGUGUGUAAUGUGUGUGGACUGCCCGCUUUCGGGGGGUAACUACUGGAGACGGUAGCUACUACCGCCUCCUAUCUAUUAUCCCCUAUGGGUUUAGCUAGUAGGUGGGGUAAUGGCGCACCUAGGCGACGAACCCUAGCUGGUCUGAGAGGAUGAUGAGCCACACGGGGCCUGGAAAACGGCCCAGACUCCUCCGGAGGCAGCAGUGGGGAACAUUGCACAAUGGGGGAAAGCCUGAGGCAGAAAUGCCGCGUGGAUGAAGAAGGCCUUAGGGUUGUAAACUACGUUCAGCCGGGAGGCGUUACCGACAGAAGAAGCAACGGCUAACUCCGUGCCAGCAGCCGCGGUAAUUC